AGACAAAGGGGGAAGGAAGACCUCAGGGACGAUGGCGUGAAGGUGGUCGGGUGGAGGCAGGGAGGGAGGAUAGGGAGGAACGGAGAGCAGGAAGAAGGCUCUGGGAGGAAAACAAAGAGGCCGAGAGAGCUGAGCCAGGAUCUGGCGGAGCAGCAGAUGGAGCAACAGAGACAGAGAGCAGAGCCCCGGAGGAGGAGCAGGCCCGUGCGGGCCGGGCAGCCAAGCCCCGCAGGUUUCCGUGGGAAGCAGAUGCUGACAGGGAGCACGUGGGGCCUUGUUGACUCCGGGCCCAGGGCCACCUCCUCGGCAGCGAGCCUGAGCCCGCAGGGGCCGCUAGGCCCAGAGAGGCCGGUGAAGGACAGCCGGGCCCUGUAGGGCUCCAGCUCUCCUCCACCCUCCUCCUGGCAAGUCCUAGGAAGCCGGUCAGCUGCCACCUCCCCCUGGAAGGAGGUGGCUGCAUGGAGGAAUGCCAGACAGUCCGGGCCAAGUGGCCAGCUUCCCCUGCUCCGCGCUGAUAGAGACUGUGAUUAAAAUGCAGCUGCAGAUCUCCUGCUGGGAAAGGCGGUGACAUAGCGUCAGUGCAGGCCAAGCAGCCACCUCCCGCUCUCCACGACCAAGGUCCAUGUGCCAGCGUCCUGGGCGUGUGCAUCGCCUGGGAAAGGUUGAGAAUCCCCGGCCGAAAGCAUCAGGAAUCCAGGCAUCCACGCCAUCGGUUGCUAGGCACCUUGGCAGCAGCCACAGACAUGAAAGGGUUGGACUAUUGUUCCCCGGAUUGUGAUCAGAGCUCCUGUGGCCUGCGAUGGGCAGAGGAAGGCCCUCAGAGCGCAGCGGCU